CACAAUGUUUCGUGGAGUGAUGAAGUUAAAGUUUUGCUAAGCCAACAAUGUGAAGAAAACGUCACAGUAGAUACAUGUUUGCUGCUGACUUUUAUAAAGUCUUUGUGUUCAUUUAGAAGAAAAGUUUCCUGAAGAUGAGCAGGAAAAGUCCAUGUGCAACGCUGGCUGUGUAUCACUGUGUAAUGUGGGUGAGCUAAAAGAAAAUGGCUGCAGGAAGCGCGCCGGGCAAUCGCUCAGUUCUGGUCAUGACAGGCAAGAAGCAUGUUCAGCUCCAGAAGAACUGCCACCUGUGGCACAUGCACCAAUGGGUAGUGCAUUGCUUAAUUUCUGCCAGUCUAUUGCUGCCAGCUGGUGCUGGUUAAGCGACAGAGAGGAGGCUGCAGUUCUGAGAGAGCUCCAAAAUGGGGUCUAUAUUCCAUGCACACGUUUGUGGAGGAAAUUCACUGAGGAUGCAAUCAGUGACUGACACCUGAUGUGGGCAAAGCAGCUGCAUGGCACAUACCAAUAGAAGGAAUAUGGUCGGUCCUCCUUAUCCAUGGGUUCCGCAUGCAUGGAUUCAACCAACCACGGAUCGGGAAAAUCCAGAAGUUCUCUCUCCAGCACUUGUUGUUUGAGCAUGUGCUGGAAAUCUUGAGCAACAUGCACAAAAAGCUGGUUUAACUUGGCAAGUCAGGCAUCAUCUAUGGAGGAGAAUAAACAAUCAACAUUUUGGGCUGAGACCCUUCAUCAGGAAGUGCAUAAUUGUUUUCCUGCCUAAGGCACCAUGGCUACCCUUCUGUUUUCGUGGAUGUCUGUGGAGAUAAAGAACUUCAGCUAUAUUGUAUGCAUUCUCUGAUAUUAAAUGGAACAACUGAACUAUGGGGAAACAGCUCAGAAGAAGAGUAAGACUUGGAGGUGAAAUGGUCAUGAUCAUAUUGAAUAUUACCAAGCACACCUUUCCCUACCCCCCUCUUUCUGCUUUCCGCAGGGAUCACUCCCUACACGACUCCAUUGUCCACUCGUCCCCCCAUCCCUUCCCACCGAUCUCCCUCCUGGCACUUAUCUUUGUAAGUGGAACAAGUGCUACACCUGCCCUUACACUUCCUCCCUCACCACCAUUCAGGGCCCCAGACAGUCCUUCCAGGUGAGGCGACACUUCACCUGUGAGUCGGCUGGUGUGGUAUUCUGCAUCCGGUGCUCCCGGUGUGGCCUUUUAUAUAUUGGUGAGACCCGACGCAGACUGGGAGACUGUUUCACUGAACACCUACGCUCUGUCUGCCAGAGGAAACAGGAUCUCCCAGUGGCCACACAUUUUAAUUCCACGUCCCAUUCCCAUUCUGAUAUGUCUAUCCAUGGCCUCCUCUACUGUCAAGAUGAAGCCACAUUCAGGUUGGGGGAACAACACAUAAUAUACCGGCUGGGUAGCCUCCAACCUGAUGGCAUGAACAUUGACUUCUCUAACUUCCGCUAAUGCCCCUCCUCCCCUUCUUACCCCAUCCCUGAUAUAUUUAGCUUUUUACCCCCCUCCUUUUUUUCUCUCUUUCUGCCCACUCUGCCUGUUCUCCAUCUCCCUCUGGUGCUCCUCUUUCUCUUUCUUUCUCCCAAGGCCUCCCGUCCCAUGAUCCUUUCCCUUUUCCAGCUCUGUAUCCCUUUUGCCAAUCACCUUUCUGGCUCUCAGCUUCACCCCACCCCCUCCGGUCUUUUAUCAUUUCGCAUUUUCCCCUCCCCCUCCUACUUUCAAAUCUCUUACUAUCUUUCCUUUCAGUUAGUCCUGACGAAGGGUCUCGGCCCAAAACGUCGGCAGCGCUUCUCCCUAUAGAUGCUGCCUGGCCUGCUGUGUUCCACCAGCAUUUUGUGUGUGUUGCUUGAAUUUCCAGCAUCUGCAGAUUUCCUUGUGUUUGCCUCUUGAAUAUUAUGAGUGUUCACUCCAGCUCCUAUUUUCUUCUGUGUGUGUGUGACCAAAACACCUAUCAUGAUGGAAUUCAAUCAAUCUCCUCACUCAGUUAAAUGCACUCAGUUGCUCUAUCUGUUAGUGCCACACUCCCAGAUGUUUGUUCUUGGUACUGCUUAUACAUGAAGGAGGCUGCUGGGAAUGCACAAUGACACUGAUUGGCAGCAGCGCAAGACUCCAGGUCGCUGGGAUUAUGGGGUACCUUAAAUUGUUCUUAGUGUGGAGGUGAGUGGCAGUACCUGGAGGGAUUUGAGGUGAAUAUA